CCAAGUGGAACUGUUCACUUAGUUUCACAUACUACUACUCAACAAUCUUGGGAUGGCAGUGUGAUGUAUGUCUGCUGGCUUCAGGCCUCAUUGUUAAUAAGGAUGAGACUCCAGCAGUGUGGCUACAGACUGGCCACUAGAUGGCACAUUACCUCUGUACUUGGUUGGUCCCUGGCACCCUAAUAGAAAACAAAACAAAACAAAAAACAACCACUGGGAGGUGGCAGGAUAUUGGGAUUCCAGAACUCAUCUUGGAAAAUUCAUUUACCAGUUUUCCAAAUUUACAAUCUCUCAGUCCAUACUUUGUUACUAAGACCAAGACAGUGUAUCAAUUUUCUUCUAAAACCUAUUCCAUUAUGCUAAAUGAACAUUUAAAAAGCCACAGAACCCUCUGAAGGCAUCUAGUUUACACUAAGACCCUAGAGCAGUAGUGACAAAUACAGUUAUCGCAAACAUUAUGUGUAAUGACAUCCAAUUGUAGUGAUCAUACACAGAAAAAAAAUUUAAACAAGAAUUUAUUUCUUAAAUUUAAAGGAUUAGAGCGGAUACAUAGGCAACGUUUACAAUAACAUUUAGAGUUAUGUCAACAUAAGACCAAUAGCUAUGGUAACAAUUAGCACAUGCAAUUCACUGUAGAGGUAAAAAUACUUUCUCUAGACAAGCCUUCUACACGAAGGUAGACUACGUAGGGGUAAAAGAGCGAGUGAACUUGAGAGGAUUGCACUUACAAGUAAAAGGGACAUAGCUAAGAUAUAAAGAGGAUACAUACCUAAUGCUAAUCACUGUAUUGUAGUACUAGCAAAUUGCACACUUAUUUAGAGUAUAUUCAAUAAACAUGUUAAGACUAAAGAAUUUUCAAAUAACUGCCUUUAAAGUAACCAUCUGACAUCACAUUUUGGUAUUCAUGUUACACCACUUGAAACAUGUAGUUACCAUUCAGACAAAACUGGUCUUUAAGGGAUAAAAGAUGUAGAACAUUUCUCUCCAUGGUCUUCAAUGCAUUUUCAUCAUUAACUUUAAAGCACUUGAUAAUGAAGUUAAACUAGCCCACCUGAAGGAGCUACUGAUGGCAAAAAGCUCUUAAAAAUUUAGGAACAAAUGGACAACACAAGAGCUCAUCCCAGGUUGUCUUCUUUUUCUUUUUAACGAAAUGUAUAGUAGAAUAUCACACUACUGCAUAAUAGUAGCACAUACAAAAAAAAGAUUAAUCCAAAAGACAGUACAUUUGGCUCUAGAAAGUUGUUUUGACUUGCAUCCAAAUUCUGUUUAUAAAUAUUCUGAAAAGGAACUGCUGUCAAAGACCAGUCGCUACUUUAUACCUUCUUUUAAAAAUAAAAUUGGGUCAUUGUCAUGGAUUUCAAAGUUUUUUUUUUUUUUAGUUAUGUCUUCUCUCAGCAUAGGGCUUGCUUGAACCUAUAACCCCAAGAUCAAGAGUCACAUGCUUUUCUGAGCCAGCCAGGCAUCCCGACCAUGACCAAUUUUAGGUUAAACAUAAAUAGCUUGCCAUUUUAUGGCUCCAUAUUCUCAUUUUAUAGAAAAGUGCAAUAAUUUUUUUUAAAGCAAUCUUGGGGAGAAUUGAACACGACCUGCAACAGAAAGCUAUCCCAGUAAUUUUUAACAACUGAACUUUAAAAUUUUUAUGUAGCUUAUUAUAUUGACAUUUUACCCAUUUCAACAAAACAACAGAAGUGUAUGGUUUAAAAAUUUGUUCUUAAACCAAACAUAGGAGAAUGAUGUGGAAUAUAACAGAACGGAGGAAGAGCUCCUCCACUUGAUUUAUGCUUGGUACAAUAUGUGCCAGUGAAAAGAAAUAUUUUAGGGAAUUGUACAACAGGAUUAUUCUACUUCUACAUUGGUCAUGAUUUUAAUUAGUUAACUAUGUGGAUAGAAACUAACCAUUUUUAAAAAUUUGGUUUCUACUUACAAAGCUAUUUUAGCUGUUCUACUUUAAGGAUGAGCUUUCAUAAAUUAAUGUUUUACAAGUAUAUUUCUACUUGAUUAACCUUUAACUUCACAGUAAGCUAGGAAGACCAGGUAACUUCAUGUGUAAAGUUGCAAUUAAAUGAACAGUUAGGUAGAUGUGAACACAGAAUAUAUGAAUGGUUUUGCUUUUUACCCUGCUUCUACUUACACAAUAUGUUCUUGAGUGCCGUGACUGAUCAGUGCUGGCUUGAAGUAGGGUACCAACAUACCAGUAACUAAUAGUCAAAUUAUAACAAUACAUGUGGCAUAUACGCUUAUUUUUUAAUCCUGUAUGAGCGCAUCAGAAGCAGUGAAUUAGUUUUGUCUACAGAGAGGCUUUUUUUCUGAUGUGCCAGUGUUACUUUAAAGGAAAUUUUGGGAUACUAAACAUCUGAGUAACCCAUCCACUGCUUAUAUAUAGACUAAUUUUCACAUAAACCAGAUCCACUUCUCUGCUUACCUAAAAUACAAUUUACAUGCCUCAAAACAAAUUAUCCUAAGACAUGGCUCAGGAAGUUUCAUGAAUGCUUGUCUUUAUCUGGGCAAAAGAUGUACAUCAUAUACUGGUAAUCCAAUCUACAUUUUUCUGAUUGGAUUAUCUGUAUAGUAACAAUCUAGUAUGUGUAAAGUGCUCUUGCAGCUGGGAGGCAUUCACUCAGGGUACCAUUUUCUAUACAAGUUUUCCACCAAUAGGGUUGCUUAUAUAAUGUUCUUUCUUAAAUGACUUCAUUCUCCUCCCCCUUAGAUUAGGAGUCUGCAUAUUCUAAGUGCUCCCCAUGUACAAACUUCACACUUGAAUUCUUUGUAACACUGCUGUUUAUCAUGAGGAAAGUUAUAGCUGAACAUGAUGACAAUAACAUGACUACUUACUUGGAGGAAAUGAAAAAUAUAACUGAUAAAAACUUCUUGACAGAUUCUUAGCAAGAUAAAUCCAAUCCUGAUUUGGAUCAGGCUUUGACCAACUUAAAUGGUGGCGGUGACAUUAUCUUAAAGUGUGACUUCUCUGUAGAUUUCUCUGUGCCCAGUCUUCCUCAUCUACUUCUCAUCCUGUCUUUCUACCAAUCUCAUGUUGCACCUGCCCUGUAUCACAAAGACCCUGUGUAUGAAAGAACUCUGAAACACAUCAAGCAAGAAUACAAAGUAUAAAAUGUUAACAGGAAGUCUAAUAUGUACAGAAUCAUAUAUAAUGAGCAGAAUUAGAUUUCAACUGUAAAUGUAGAGCAACUUCUUUUAGCCUUUUAUUCUUGAAUAACCUAUAAACCAUUUUAAGUGGGCCUGGUUUUUGUGACUUAAAUAUGACAAAAAACUGUAACAUACUUUCUGCAAAACUACUUGAUAACACUAGUCAACUACUAAUGACGUAUCAAAAAUUUUCACUUAGCCCCUGUCUUUAGCCCUUGCCUCCUAUCAAAUGUGGUGGGUAGGGUAGGGCAUAAAUGUGAAAGUGUGGUUAGUGCUAAACUCUGGAGCCCUGGCUCACUUCUCUCUGGGAAGAAGAGAACUUGUGGGAAGAGGUUUAAAGUCUCUUUAAAUCACAAUGUGGAACUAAGUUCCACCUACCUCAGACCUAGCAGGUGUUAAAAUACUAUCUCAUCAUUAAGUGCCUCCACAACAGGGUGUUCCCUGUGAUAUUAACUAACAUCAAUAUGUACAUUUUUGGAUAGGGUUUUAUUUUGGUAAGUAGUGCCCAUGUGUUCUCAGUUUGCUUCGAACAUCUAGAAAAAAAAAACCUUCCAAUCUUGGCCUACUUAAAAACAAAGCAUAUUAAAACACAUUUUAAGUUGAAGAUAUAUUGUAUAAAGUGCUUCAUCAACCAAAUUCUCUAAAGUUUUAACAAAAAGGGUCAAUGUUUAUAUAUACAGAAAAAUGGCGAGUCUAUAAAUGGCAAAGAAUUUUUAAAAUGGUUAAGCUACUUUGGCAUUCAUUGCUAGUUUUUUAACUGGGCACUCUUAACUGCUGAAUUUGUGAAAUGGAUCUUCAAACAGAUUGUGAAUAACAACAUAAAGCAAAUUUUUGAAAAUUUAGUUACGAUAUAAAUGUUCAAAAAUAUAUUUUUUAAUCUGCAAAAUUAAAACUCUAGAAUUCCAUUUAUCUAGUAGCUGGCAUCAUUACACCAACAGAAGAGAAUGUCUAAUAUUUCAUGUUGGCAAGAUUGUAAUUCAACCCACUGUUUUUUUUUGCUUUUGGUCAGACAACAAAAACUGGGUUCAUACAGUUAUGCUACCUAAUACUCUCCUUACGCUGUCAGCUAAAGUAGAGGGUCUAGACCUUGCUCAUCUAAUUUUUUAUCUUAAGUCCAUCUCAGCCACUUUAUUUGGUGACUAUUCUCAUUAAAAUCAGUAGAGCUGUGCUAAAUACAUCACUGCUUAUUAUUUAAAGACCAUCUGUUGUCUAGCUACAGAAAAUUUUACUUUAUAAAUUUCAGACAAGCUUUCUGUUUUUCUUCAGUGCAAACAUCCUGAAACAGCACAAAAUCAUUCAGCUAUUCAGAGGAUGAAGUCAGUUUAUGUAGUGCUUGAAAGUAGAAUCCCAGAUAUUCUGGAAGGGAAACAGCCCAUGUGGGAGGACAGUUUACUGUUGUCCUUAAGGGCAAAUGAUCAUCUUCAGUGAGCGAAGAUUAUUUUUCUCUGAAAUAACAGUUAAAGUUAGCUUUAGUUUACAGGUACUGGUGAAGUUUUAACAGGAACCGGUCUUUCACUGAGGCAUGUAGCCACCUCGUCUGACAGUUUGUGGUAAGUAGCUUUUAGACAUUCCUUCAUCAACUGCAGCCUCCGUCCCAACUGUUUCAAAUCUCUCUACCUGUCCCUCAGUAUGUAGACCAAAAGCAUCUGCUACAGAAAUUUCUUGAAACAUUUUCAUUUGCCCAGAUCCACAGGACUGUGAAAUAUCUGAAAUCUGCUGUUUGAGUCUAACAAAAUCUUCUUCAUUGACUGACGAAACUUGCUUUGACCUUUCAAAAUGUGAAAUAUCUGGACUGGUUUCACGUUGACUGCAGUUUUGUUUGAAAUACUGUUGCCUGGGCAAAUUGCCAGCACUGCUAUCUGUGUUAUCUACCAGCUGUAGAUCUUCUGGCCGCUCUUCAGAAUCUAACAAGGGCUGGGUGGACUCGGAUCUUGAGAAGACUUGGACCGAUGGAACCUGGUGUCUGUAGCCACUGUGCACCACUGUGGAAUACUGGACGGUGCCUGAAGUGUUCUGAGCAGACUCAUUUUCAUCACUGCUAGAAAUGCUUGGCCUAGAGGAGGACAUGCACGAUGAACCUCCAAUACCACUGCUGUGUCCUUCAGUACUGAUUUUUUCCUUCUUGAAUAAGUCCAGUGAUUUCAGAUCUUCUGGA
rnacentral:lncRNA from 1 species